rnacentral:lncRNA from 1 species
UUUGACAGCCUAAUAAAGAUACUUCUGUAUCAUCAGAUAUCAGAGAAAUGCCUAAAAGGUGAUCUUGGCAAGGCAGAGAAGAAUUAAAAGAUCUUUGCCAGUGAUCCUGUCUUGGCUGUAUCCACCAGAAUGAAGACAUAAGAUUCAGCCCUCAAACACUAAUCCAAGCUUGUGGAGCUGGCAUGACUUAGUCUAGCAAACAUCUGUGGGUUGGGAGUCUGAACAUGGACCACUGAAAAACGUGAGACAAAUGGCCAUCAUUUAGGAAAUGCAAACUCAAUGUGGGUGAAGCAUACUGUGAAGUGCAAGAGGGUAACUGAACUCCAAAACCAAUAGAAACAAAUCAGAAUUCUUCUGGCUCCCUACUGAUGCUUUCAGACCACAAAACUCAUACGAUUAUCAGAGAGUUGACCUGAGUAUAAUGAUAACAGAAGUGGUAAGCUUAGAAGCAAUAAUAGUAGUAUAAAACAGCUCUUUUCAAGCUCCAGUCAUUUGGCCACACCUGCCUCCUCCUCUCCUUACCUCUGGCAUCUGAUCUCUUUAUUCCAUUCCUUCAUUCCUUGAGGAUAAUGUGAGGUACCAAAGUUCCACCCUCCAAUUUCUGUACCAUUAUUAUCUUUUGCUCCAUCAAGGUCUAAGAAAACUACCAUCAAAUAUUCUGGCUUUACAAAUCCUUUGACUCUCACAACCCACUGCAGCCGUCCUUUACCUAUGGCCAAGCUCUCAAUUUUGACAGCAUCUCAGAAAUCUUAGAUUCCAUCUUCCCCCCGAGCACAGUGUUUGAUCCUUUCUACUCUCUCAAAUUUUCACUUCCAUUUCAUCAGCCUUCUCCCUCAGAAGAGCUUCCAGAGCCUGGAACUCUAUUUUAUCUCCCAUUGCAUCAGAUACCUUCUAUAUCCAUAUCUCUUUUUUUUUUUUUUUUUUGAAUGAGAGAGAAUCUCACUCUGUUGCCCAGGCUGGAGUGCAGUGGCAUGAUCUCAGCUUACUGCAACUUCUGCCUCUCGGGUUCAAGCAAUUCUCCUGCCUCAGCCUCCCAAGUAGCUAGGAUUACAGACGCACAACACCACGCCUGGCUAAUUUUUUAUUUUCAGUAGAGAUGGGGUUUCACUAUGUUGACCAGGCUGCUCUUGAACUCCUGACCUCAAGUGAUCUACCCGCCUCGGCCUCACAAAGUGCUGGGAUUAUAGGUGUGAGCCACUGUGUUUGGCCCUAUAUCCAUAUCUUUCCCAAUGAGAUCCAAUGGCCCAUCCCUUCAAACACUCUCUUACCUCUUGAAUUUAUUUUAUUUUUACUUUAAUAUAAUUAUAAAAUAUGUAUAUGUGUGCUGGUUAUUCUUCAUUAUUUCCUCUACCCCACAUCCAAUGCCCACUCUUCUCUGUCCUGCUCUUGCCCUGGGAGGCUAACCCCUGUGGAUCACACACUUCAAGUUUCCGUGCCACAUGGCUUCUGGUUGAAUUCAAUCAAUAGGAAGCACCAGCAAGAUAUUAGUAGGAGGGAAGAAAAACAGGUCAGGGUGGCACUUACUUCCGUACACCAGCUCUGACACUCCGGCUGUGACACUGUGACUCAAACAGGAAAAACUUGAAACUCUAUUUAUACCUUUCUCCCUUCUCCUCUAUAAAACAAAAGCCUUAAGUCACUAGUAUGGGGCAGCAAAUUCUGUCGCCCCAGGGAACAAAUGAAGAUCUACUGCAGCUGGGGACAGAAUAAAAGAAAAAAGGGUGAAAAAAGGAAAGAAAGAGUAAAAGAAAAAACAUAACAGUCCUGGGCCCAGAAUACUGUACCAACACAAUUAAAGGUCUCCUACCACUGGAGGACAACAGAAAACUCCCUCCAUACAAGAUCUGCUGCAAGUACAAAACAGAGUUUGGCUUCCAUGGAGAGGAGGAACAGGAUGACUGAGAUGCCACACUAAAACUCUGGCACAAAAGACCUAAGACUCAGACUAGAUCAGGAUAACAGAAAAAAUAUCCUGACCUCUACCACCAGACUUAGCAAGUACCAAGUAAAAAGCAACAAUAGACUACCUCUAGGGGAGGUGCAAGAGCAUGGAGAGAGACCCCACUGCAGAAUGAUGCACAAGGAAAGCAGAAAGCUAAAACGAAAGCAGGAACAUUGAGGAAAACUCUCCGGUACCACAGUCCCCAUUCUAACAAAGUUAACACCAGAGGAAUUUGAAGUUAGUGGUAUACAAAUAUAACCAUAACAACAACAGCAUCCAAAUCUAGCUCAACUCCUGACUCAAUUGACUCAGCCCCUGUCAUCUACCAUUACCAUCAAAUAUAUACACUAAUGGUCUUGCAGAAGAAAUUGUGUGCCCAUUUCCAGGCACAAAUACUAUAUAUCUCAUGCUCUGCUAUCCUACGUGCAAUGGACAGCAUUGUAUUAAAAAUUAUAAGACACUCACACAAAGGCAAGGGAAAAACCCACUGUCAAAAGACAAAGCAAUCAACAUUACAAAACGAAGAGAUGACCUAGGUGUUUGAACAAUCUGACAGGAAAUAUAUAAUUACUAUGAUUAAUAUCUUAAAGGUUCUAGUGGAAAGGAUGGAUAACACAUAUGAACAAAUGGAAAAUUUCAGCAGAGAGAAAAAUCCAAUAUAAAUGCUUAGAAGUUUAAACACAUUUAAUAACAGAGAUGAAGCAUGUCUUCAAUGUUAUCAUUAGUAGAAUUGAUGCAGUUGAGGAAAGAAAAAGUGAACUUUAAUGGUAAGUCAAUUACAAUUAUCUAAACUGAAAUAUAAAGAAUAAAAAGAAUAAAACAAACAGAACAGAGCAUCCAAAAGCAGUGGGACAAUAUUCAUGAUCUAACAUACAUGCAAUUAAAAAUCCAAGAGAGGAGAAAGACAAUGAGGCAGAAGAAGUAUUUGAAGAGUAUGGUUGAGAAUUUUUCAAAAAUAAUGAAAUACAUCAAACUAUAGAUCCAAAAAUCUUAGAGAGCCCCAAGUAAGAUAGAAACCCCCCAUAAAAAGCACAUAGACACAUCAUAUUUAAACUUCAAUAUGUAAACCAAAGAAGAAGAGAAAGCCCUGAAGGCAGCUAGAGGAAAAGAACAUAUUGCAUCCAGAGAAACAAAGGUAAGAAUUACAAAGACUUCUUGUCAAAAAAUAUACAAGCCCAAAGACAAUGGAAAGAGAUCUUUAAAGUGCUGCGGGUGGGAAUGGGGAGGGGCGGGGAAGUUCAAUCCAGAUUUCUACACUUAGCAAAAAUAUCUUUCAAAAAUGAAAGUAAAAUUAAGACUUUUUUAAAUAAAAUCUGUUCUGAACAAUUUUUAGGAGUCACCGAUACAUGGUUAGCAGUGUUUCAGGAAACCCUGAAAUCACACUGGAAGAGUCUGUCAAGACAGAAGAGAGAGGAGGCGGUUCCAAGAUGGAGCUGGAGAACACCAAGACUAAAAGACACAGAGAAUGAGAACUGUGCUGGUCUCCAGGUUCAUCUGCUUUCUUAAACUAACCAUGAGCCAAGAAACAAGUGGAAGAGGCCAGAUGAAAGGGAAAAGAAGAGCUAACACCAUAUGAGCUCUUAGUAACGCCAGGUAUCUCUCCUACCGAACACCAAGCUCCACUGGAAACAGAAUCUUCCGUCUUGAAAAUCUGCAUCUUCAGUUCCCUCCGUGAAGGAGCGGGCUCUGAUCUGAGAAACCAGUGGUUCAAGAGCUCCACCAUGAGGAAAGCAGGAAACAAGCCCUCGAGCAAGACAUUUCUGUCAUUUUCAAAAGCAGGUGCUACCCACAGGAAGGCAAAGGCCAGAGAUGGGGAAUGGGGACCAGGGGAGCAGCCAGGUCAUGGCUCUGGGGCUGUCUGGUGAGGAAAGGGACUUGGCACAGUGUCUCCUGUCCCCUCAUCUGCCCCGCCUUUUGCCGCAUAUUUAUACAACACAAGAAGUCCACACUUCUGUUCUUCCCAGUUCACAGAUAAUUAACUCCGGGCACAAAGACAACUGAUUUGCCAAAGUCACCCAGCCAGCAAGUGGAAAGCCAGGAUUUGAACCCCAGCAGUUUGGCUGUAAAGCCUGUGCUCUUCCACACCUCACAGCACAGGGUUCCACAUCUCGAGGCACCGUCUAUGGGUUGCCAGUGAGUUACCUGGGUCACAGAAGAUAUAUGUGCUCAGCCCUGGCCCUUUAGAAUGGCUUUCUCCCCACUCCACGCAGGGCACAUGGGGGCUACUAACUCUGAGCUCUACAUUGGUAGCAGCUGGCAAGACGCUAAAGCUACUCUUCCCUCUUGGAGAAUUAGAUGCAAUUAGGUUUGCUAAAUUCUCCCAUCAGCCCUGCUCACUAAAUUCCUCACUGACUGCAAUAGUGUUGCCUCCCAGCUGCUGCAGCGUCUGACCCUCACAUCUGCUGGCUUCUCCCCUGGGGCCAGAUCACUCCUGCAGCUACCAGCUCUCACCACCCCCACCCCCAUCCCAGGCCACCAGCCCUUUGAGAUGGGUUGGAACUCUCUGCCAAUUAGAGGUGACUGGGGGAUUCUGGGGAAAGCAUAAGCUUUGGUAUCAAUUAGAACUGGGACAGAAAUCUGGAUCUAUCUGUAUCACUUUAAACAAGGAGCAGAACCUCUCUGAAACUCAUCUUGAAAAUGAGAGAAAUGUUUUAUUUCCUUUUCUCAUUUAUGUGUUGACCCCACUCAGAGGGCAGACAUUGUGUCUGUCUUGUCCACGGUUUUAUCUCCAUUACCUAACACAGUGCCUGGCACUUAGAAGACAAUAAAUAUUUGUGGAGGGAAGGAGGAAAAAAAUACUUUCCCUAUAGGAUUGUUAAGAGCACUAAAUGAGAUAACAUAUGUAAGAAUCUGAGUUACAUGUGCUCUAUAAAUGAUGGAUUCUAACCACCAGCUUAUUUUGAUUACAUGACACCAGGCUUCUUGUUUCAGCUAAUUAUCAUUGUCACCUCAUCCAUUCAUUCAUUGCAGAAAUACUGAGCACCUGCUACAAGUAAUGCAGGACAAUAAAAACGUAAAGAGCAUGGUCCCUACCUUAAAGCGGCUCAGUUACAAUUUCAGUAUACCAUGUGCCACAGCGGUCAUAAGUACAGAGAGCCAUGAGCACACAGAGACUAGCCAGGAAAGGAUGUAGGAGCAGGGAAAAAUCUGGAGGUGGAGAAAAACUUCCUAUGUUGAACUCUGGUGCCCAUUGACAAAGCUGAGUCCCUGGAAAUGAGUAGAUGAUGAAUUUUAUCACACACAAAAGAUAUGCUUGGAAUAAUUUUUUACCAGUCUCUUUCCUCAGAGAUGUAUCUGGAUGUUGCCUUUAGCUGGUUAGACUCUGUCUCUUGGAGAACUGUAUGAAGGGCAGUCCAAGUUCUCUGAGACUUUUGGCUCCAACAGAUCCAAACCACCAGACAGCAGGAAUUAGAAACAGGUGCUACCUAUGGUCUGUGUAUUAGUCCGUUCUCGCACUGCUAUAAAGAAACUGAGACUUGUUAAUUUAUAAAGAAAAGAGGCUUAACUGACUCACGGUUCCUCAGGCCGUACAGGUAGCAUGGCUUGGGAGGCCUCAGGAAACUUUCAAUCACAGCAGAAGGUGAAGGGAAAGCAGGCAUAUCUCACAUGGCCGGAGUAGGAGGAAGAGAGCAAAGUGGGAAGUGCUACACACUUUUAAACGAUCAGAUCUCGUGAGAACUCACUCACUAUCAUGAGAACAGCAAGGCGGAAGUUGGCCCCCUUGAUCCAAUCACCUCCCAAUAGGCCCCUCCUCUAACACUGGGGAUUACAAUUCAACAUGAGAUUCGGGCGGGUCCACAAAUCCGAAACAUAUCAGUCUGGAAUUUAAAUAAAUUGAAGCAAGCAUAUCUUUAUUUGCCACCAAUUUAUUACCCUAAGUUCUGGGCAAGACUUCUUGGAAAACUCCUCUAAAUUUUUUGAGCAGCAUCUAACAUUUUACACAGUAGACCACGUGAUGUGUUCUCAGGUUUCCAAAAUUUGUCAUAUGCAGCCACUGGCCGGACAUGCCAUUGUGAGUUUCACCUGUACUAUUUCUUUUCUUAACGUUUUUAAAUUAUUUUACUUAAAAAAAAAAAACUAUUCAGGAUCAGGCGUGGUGGCUCACACCUGUAACUGCAGCACUUUGGGAGGCCGAGGUGGGCAGAUCACUUGAGGUCAGGAGUUCGAGACCAGCCUGGCCAACAUGGUGAAACCCUGUCUCUACGUGUCUCUACUACAAAUACAAAAAUUAGCCGGGCAUGGUGGCAUGUGCCUGUAAUCCCAGCUACUUGGGAGGCUGAGGCAGGAGAAUCACUUGAACCUGGGAAGCAGAGAGCCGGGAUCAGUGAGCCGAGAUCACACCACUGCACUCCAGACUGGACGAAAGAGCAAGACUCCAUCUCAAAAACAAACAAACAAACAAACUAAACUUUUCAAAGAAGAUUUUCCAGAUGUAAUUAAAAAACAAGUAUCAACUGCCCUUGCAGUCCCAAUGUCUUCAAACAUUAUUGCCAUUCCAGUCAUGAAGUGAUGCUCAAACACAAUUCUCAGCAAGCCAUGCCGCAUGACCUUGAGACGGACAAAUGAAGCUCUAAAUUGACACCUGCCAAUGGAGUGUGUUAUGGAGGGUGUGUAGCUCAAAGGGAUCGUAUCCCACCAAAAAAUCAUCUUGACUUCCACCAGCUAGCAAUAGAAAUUUGGGUGCACUCAGUGAAAAGAUGAUGCGAUUUAAACCAUGAUGCCUGGGUUGGGGUCAUGCCUCUACCCCUUACUAGUUGUGUGACUUUGGACAGGAACUUAACUUCUCUGAGCUUCAAGUCCCAAAUAUCAUUGUUAUCAUAAUAAUAAUGAUAUUAUUAUGACAGCAAUUUCUCAUAAAAUUGGUGAGCCAAUGAAAUUAUUGCAAUGGUAUGACUGCAAAAUCACCUUGUAAACUCUAAAGUAUGCAUAAAUAUUUAUUAAUUUCCUGAGAAAUAAAUCUUCCAAGAUACAGUGAAGCUUACACUUUUACUGUCAGAACUUGGACAUUAUCAUUAUUGAUGAGAGACUAUAAAGAACAUGGCCUUUGACCAUUACUCAGACAAUUGAGUAGGCGACAGGAGAAUGUUUCUCACCCCUUCUUUCUAUGAUGUGUAAACAUGCUAAGCUGGAGAAAUGAUCAGAGAACAGGAGAUGUGGUUGUGAGAGUUGGCACAGGAUGCAGAAAGCCCAGAUGUACAAUGAGUGCUAUCCUGCCAUAGACACAUCACCUAGCAAGGUCCCAUAAAACCAGGACAACUCUUUCCUUCACAUGGUGGAUCUUCACUGCACCUCAACUCAGCCAGUUUUAACAAAUCCAUUUUCCACCCUACGCCUGGAGGCUGAUCUGUAAGGACGGCAUCAAGCUCCCUUGCCCUCUUGCUCCUAGUUGGUUUUGGCUAAUGGGGAGCCACUGAAGGAGAUAGGAGGCAAGAGGAACAAGGUGAGAGUAUUUAUUUUCUGGCUCCUUCUCAG